rnacentral:snoRNA from 1 species
UGAGCCUGUGAUGAGGAUUGUUUCCCACUCAUGUUCGAGUUUCCCAACCAUGAGAUGACUCCACGUGCACUACCAUCUGAGGCUGG